rnacentral:rRNA from 1 species
AACGAACGCUGGCGGCAGGCUUAACACAUGCAAGUCGAACGCCCCGCAAGGGGAGUGGCAGACGGGUGAGUAACGCGUGGGAACAUACCCUUUUCUACGGAAUAGCUCUGGGAAACUGGAAUUAAUGCCGUAUACGCCCUACGGGGGAAAGAUUUAUCGGGGAAGGAUUGGCCCGCGUUGGAUUAGCUAGUUGGUGGGGUAAAGGCCUACCAAGGCGACGAUCCAUAGCUGGUCUGAGAGGAUGAUCAGCCACAUUGGGACUGAGCAACGGCCCAAACUCCUACGGGAGGCAGCAGUGGGGAAUAUUGGACAAUGGGCGCAAGCCUGAUCCAGCCAUGCCGCGUGAGUGAUGAAGGCCUUAGGGUUGUAAAGCUCUUUCACCGAUGAAGAUAAUGACGGUAGUCGGAGAAGAAGCCCCGGCUAACUUCGUGCCAGCCGCCGCCGUAACAC